GGGAUAACAUACCCCCUAAUCAGAAAAUAAGGACUUGGUUGUCUUUCUUUUCUCUUUUCUUUCUUUUUUAGAGAUCAGCCAACCUUUUUAAUGCAUUGAUAACAGUAGGGAGUAUCAACUAAAAUAACUGGAGGCUUAUUGGAUAGUAGAAUAAGAUACAAUGAAUAUUUUUGGGUGUCUUCUCUGAGUGUAGGAGUAGAAUAUUUUCUAAGUGCAUAUGGAAUGUGUAUGAGUGCAUGAAUGUGUACUCCCGGGGUAGGAGCAACAUAAGUGUGUGUCUCCAAGGUAGAAACAGCACAGAGUGUAAUGCGUAUAUGUGGGUGAUACUUCUAAGAACAGAAGUAGCACAUGAAGAAUGUGUGGAAGUGGUUGCAUACUUCUAAGGACAGAAGUAGCUAAGAUCAAUGGAUGG
rnacentral:lncRNA from 1 species